CUGAAUAGAGCACAACAAUUGCCUCUCAGAUCCUGAAUAUGACGUUUAUGUUAAAACAUCAUUCCUUUGAUAUCUGGCUUUUUGCAAAAGAUUCACACAUUGGAUGUAUAGUUUUGUAAUUGGACACUAUUUCUGUUGUGUAGUACUUCACACUUGUUUUUAUUGAAUACUGGAUUUUAUUGAAUCUUGUGGAAUUCAUUCUAUCAAAUUGGUAAAGAUAAUUUGGAAGAGAAAAUCAGAAUUCAAAAAAGUGCUAGCCAAUCCCAUGCCACAGUGGCCUUAUCAAAGGUAGAAGACGCAGACCAACCAGACAGAUUCCCCACUACUGCAAAGAACUACCUGUGCCUACAAGAAGUUCUGCAGGACGGCAGAAGAGUAUGCACCCCCUCUGUCCAUGAUAAAAUAGUGCACAUUGCAUAUCUAUGGAGGUUUUUGCUUGUUUACUAUGACAAGAGUAUUUACUAAUUGUUGAAAGUUAAUCUUCAUUAAGGUAAUGCUCAGGAACCUCUCCACAAUUCUUUGAACUCCAUGCAAGUCAAAGUAGCUCCAGCUAAAGCAUUUCCAUGUAAAAAGAAAGACUAAAUUAUUUCCUCUUGCACAUAUUAUUUAUCUUUAAUUAUUCACCAAUUCAAUACAUUUGAGCUAUCCAAGAUGAGUACUCUGUGAAUAACCAGUGAUGUAGCUUUACACUUUAAUUCCCUUUUAAGUCCUUUUUUCCUCUGACAUGUUAAUUUAGAGUUUCUGCAAUUUUUUCCCAAAAACACAUCUUAAAAAAUAAUUUAAGAUGUUUCGUUUAAAUGCUACAGCAGGAAACAGAUUUAAACACUGAAUGAUACAAAUGUAAACAUUAUUUUCCAUGAAUAACUAAUAUGCUCUCAAAACAUGACAAUUUUUCAAUAUUAGAGUCCUACCUUCAUAUACAACUGAUGGUAUACAUUGUUUGGCAUAACCUUCCUAUAAGUUUUAAUUAGAUAUUGUGUAUCUUGCACUAUUUGGGGGUCGGAGAGGGGAAAUAUACAGCUAACCCUUGUCAAGAGAUGCCUAAGCUUUCCAGACCAACUUCUACAAAAGACUGGGGGACAUUAAAAAAAAA